CAGUCGAGGGGUAUAGUUCUUCGGAAUUAGAGACCGGCGCACGGGUGCGUAACGCGUAUGCAAUCUACCUUUUACAGAGGGAUAGCCCAGAGAAAUUUGGAUUAAUACCUCAUAGUAUAGCAGUUUCGCAUGAAACCACUAUUAAAGUCACAACGGUAAAAGAUGAGCAUGCGUCCCAUUAGCUAGUUGGUAAGGUAACGGCUUACCAAGGCUACGAUGGGUAGGGGUCCUGAGAGGGAGAUCCCCCACACUGGUACUGAGACACGGACCAGACUCCUACGGGAGGCAGCAGUGAGGAAUAUUGGACAAUGGGCGCAAGCCUGAUCCAGCCAUGCCGCGUGCAGGAUGACGGUCCUAUGGAUUGUAAACUGCUUUUAUACAGGAAGAAACCCUGGUUCGUGAACCAGCUUGACGGUACUGUAAGAAUAAGGAUCGGCUAACUCCGUGCCAGCAGCCGCGGUAAUACGGAGGAUCCAAGCGUUAUCCGGAAUCAUUGGGUUUAAAGGGUCCGUAGGCGGUUUAAUAAGUCAGUGGUGAAAGCCCAUCGCUCAACGGUGGAACGGCCAUUGAUACUGUUAAACUUGAAUUAUUAGGAAGUAACUAGAAUAUGUAGUGUAGCGGUGAAAUGCUUAGAGAUUACAUGGAAUACCAAUUGCGAAGGCAGGUUACUACUAAUGGAUUGACGCUGAUGGACGAA
rnacentral:rRNA from 1 species